CAUGCAGUCGNANCGAAGUANCCGNUAANUGCUCCUGGAUUCAGCGGCGGACGGGUGAGUAAUGCCUAGGAAUCUGCCUGGUACUGGGGGACAACGUUUCGAAAGGAACGCUAAUACCGCAUACGUCCUACGGGAGAAAGCAGGGGACCUUCGGGCCUUGCGCUAUCAGAUGAGCCUAUGUCGGAUUANCUAGUUGGUGAGGUAAUGGCUCACCAAGGCGACNAUCCGUAACUGGUCUGAGAGGAUGAUCAGUCACACUGGAACUGACACACGGUCCAUACUCCUACGGGAGGCANCAGUGGGGAAUAUUGGACAAUGGGCCAAAGCCUGAUCCAGCCAUGCCGCGUGUGUGAAGAAGGUCUUCGGAUUGUAAAGCACUUUAAGUUGGGAGGAAGGGUUGUAGAUUAAUACUCUGCAAUUUUGACGUUACCGACAGAAUAAGCACCGGCUAACUCUGUGCCAGCANCCGCGGUAAUACAGAGGGUGCAAGCGUUAAUCUGAAUUACUGGGCGUAAAGCGCGCGUAGGUGGUUCGUUAAGUUGGAUGUGAAAUCCCCNGNCUCAACCUGNGAACUGCAUUCNAAACUGUCNAGCUAGAGUAUGGUAGAGGGUGGUGGAAUUUCCUGUGUAGCGGUGAAAUGCGUANAUAUAANAAGGAACACCANUGGCGAANNGACCACCUGGACUGAUACUGACACUGAGGUGCGAAAGCGUGGGGAGCAAACAGGAUUANAUACCCUGGUANUCCACGCCGUNNACGAUGUCNACUANCCGUUGNGAGCCUUGAGCUCUUAGUGGCGCANCUAACGCAUUAAGUUGACCGCCUGGGGAGUACGGCCGCGAGGUUAAAACUCAAAUGANUUGACNGGGGCCCGCACAAGCGGUGGANCAUGUGGUUUANUUCNAAGCAACNCNAAUAACCUUACCANGCNNNGACNUNCCAUGA
rnacentral:rRNA from 1 species